UAAACCCAGAUACAUAGUUGUACCUGAUCGUAUCAGUUGUACCUAAACACUUAGAUUCAUACAUAACCUUAGAAACCAAAACACAAUCCGAACAUUUGUACCUAAAGCCAAAACACCAACACAAUGGUAUCAAAAACCAUACAAUAUAUAUCUAAAACCACCAAAAGACCUUCUUCUUCUCCUUCUCCUUCUUCAUCUUUUCUUCCGUAUACGGUUCGUUGACAUGAAUUGAAGGCUUAACUAUCUUUUUCGGUGCCAACUAACAUUUCUUCUUAGAACAUUGCUUAAAUCUCUGUUUUUGGAUACUCUCAUAAUCUCAUCAUCUAAACGAAAAGAGAUAAAUAAGCAAUCCAAACACAAAUUCACACAAUCUCAUUAUCUAUCUACAUAAUUAUAAGAGAUAAAGUUUGUUUUCAACACAUUUCAAAUCCGAAUCCGAAAUCCGACAUUUAAACACAUUUUGAAUCUAUGUAAGGGAAAAUUCAAACCCAAAAAUAGAGACAAAUUCAAGUUUGAAAUUUGGGACAAAUUCAUAUUCGAAAAUUCAAUAUCCGAAAACAAGGACAAAUUCAAAUCUGAAAAUCCAUCACUUUCACAAAACAAAACCCAACUCAAUCCAUCCAAAAUAUGAAUCAAACAAAAGAACGAACGAGAAUGGAGAAUUUGUAGCUUACAAAGAGAGGACACGGACGAACAUGAAUUUGGAUUUCUCACGGUGGAUUUAUUGCAUUUAUUGAAUUUGGAUUUCUUCUUUUUAUCAAUAUUUAAGCCUUGGCUCUUGAACACCAAAAGCAAACUAGUUUGUUAUCUUACCACUGAUUUAUUGCAUUUUCUGACAUGUUUAUUUGUUUUAUUGUUGUUCAUAUUUUGAGUAUUUUUGCUUGUUUUUCUUAAUCCUUUGUUUCUGCUCCGAAGGUAAUAUAUGCACAAGAUUUCAUUGUACUGUAUGCUGCAGAUAAUCAUCGAGAAGCUCGUGGAUGUCGUUUAUCUAUGUAGAUUAAGCCAUUGUGGAAGUUUUGGGCAAGCAAAUCUUUUGGAAAACCAAAUCUUCACUAUCAUUUGUCUUAACUACCAAUAGGUCUGAUUCUAAAAGACCCUGGAAAGAAACAAGGAAGAGAACGAUUGGGUGAAGGUGUUCUACCAUAUUACUUUCCUUGAACUUUCCUAGUCAUCACUUUUUUCCCAAUGUUGAGGGAACAUAUGCUUUUCUGAAUAACCGUGCUGGAACCAUGUCCCCUUUCAAACACGUCAAAGUGUUUGCGUUGGACGAUGGUGGUGAGGUAAAUAAAUAUGACUUUCUAACCUUUUUAAGAAUACUAAAAAGAGCAUUAUUUAAGUUCUAAAGAUAAUAACUUUUUGAAUGAUUUUCGUUUGCCUCUGAUGUGAUUUGGAAAGAGGUGGAUGAAACUAGGCUGAUGUGCGUUAUUGAAUUAGGUGAAAGUAUAGGUGACAAAAAGUACAACAUGAUUGGAUUCGUUUUUGUUUCUGUUCUUGCCUCUCCGGUUUAAUACAUACAGAGAUUCUUUUUUACGUUUGUAGGUGAUUUUGAAUCCGCAAGGCGCCUUGGCCAAUUCUAAGAAUCAUUUCCUCAGAUAGGUUAGUCUCGCUGUACAUUUGAUCAGCCCUAGCACUUUGAGGGACUCCCGAUUUCAUUUUCUUUUCCUAGAAUCUGGAAGAGGCAGGUGAUUGUGGUAUAUAUGCCAGUAUGCUGAUCUAAUCUAACAAAUCGAUAGUUGUGAUAUCUCUGAAGAAUCAUCCUCCAGACAAGGAUAAGGACAAGGACACUGACAUGGAACCAGUAAGGUAUGGUAUUCCAAAAAGCAAUGCAACUGCUCUCAAGAAGGCGAUGAGAAUAUAAUCUACUUGCUUUGUUUGAAGAACAGCCUGAUCUACUUCAUGGCCUGGUUAGAAAGAAAACAUCUAUCCGAUUUUUUUCUUUUUUCCUGUAUAGUUCUCAUCAUGUUUAGAGACCAAUUCUUCAGUUUUCUCCUUCAGUUCUAAAAGAUGAGGGAGUCAAGGUUUAUCAGGUGGUUCAGAGUGCAGUUUCAACUUAGGGCGUAUCAGGCUGGAUUCAACUGCGGUUUCAAUCGCGCUGAAGCGGUUAAUGUGGCUCCGGUUUAUCGGUUGGCUCAUGGACAGAAUGUCGUAGAACUAUAUAGUAAAGAGACAAGGAAGAUUUCUCUGUCUCAUGACAAACUUCUCCUCGGAGCAUCUUCUUAGUGCUGGUAAGUUCUCCGGUUUAUGGUGUUGUUACUAGCUUAAAGGCAACUAACUAUGGGAUGUAUGUUCUUAGUGCUGGUAAAGCGAACACAGAUCAGCAGUAAGGUUUGUUCCUGAAACUUGUACUUUCUUUUACUGCUUUAAAUUUCUUGACAAGCUUAUUGUUUUUUUUUUUUUUUUUGGUUUAAAUUCCCUGAAGUCUAAAUUUAAACUGGUAUCUCUUCUUAUAUUGAUAAGUGGCCAGUGAGAGUUAGCAUUAGUUAGCAAAGUUUGUUUGAAGAUUUUCACACUGGAAUUUUCUAUAAGUAAACUUCUUCAAUCAUUUAUAUACCACAUGCUUAAUUGCUUAGUAUGAAUGCA